UAGGGUGCAAGCGUUGUCCGGAUUUACUGGGCGUAAANAGCUCGUAGGUGGUGUGUCGCGUCNUCUGUGAAAUUCCGGGGCUUAACUCCGGGCGUGCAGGCNAUACGGGCACACUAGAGUGCUGUAGGGGUAACUGGAAUUCCUGGUGUANCGGUGAAAUGCNCAAAUAUCAGGAGGAACACCGAUGGCNAAGGCAGGUUACUGGGCANUUACUGACNCUGAGGAGCGAAAGCAUGGGGAGCGAACAGGAUUAAAUACCCUGGUANUCCAUGCUGUAAACGGUGGGCGCUAGGUGUGGGCUGUGUGUUUGCAGUCUGUGCCGUACCUAACGCAUUAANCGCCCCGCCUGGGGAGU
rnacentral:rRNA from 1 species